UGCAACAAUGUAAAGAGAGCAUCAUGUUGAUCUUUGGAGAGAACCGUAAUGAAGCUUAGAAUCAAACCAUAGUCCUUCCGGAAUCCUUCUAGAGAAUCCUGAUCCAUUAACUUCAUCAGCUGUUGAAUAGGCUCCAAACAGACCACAGGAAACUUGUAGGCGACAUGUCUCUUUCUGCCAAUAUCCAUCUUAAGAGAACCAGAGAACCCCGACCGAAUCAAGAAGGAGAUGUAAACCCCUAGAAAUAGAUAAACAUGUGUUAAAUGAUAUGAAUGCAACAUCAUGUGAUGCAAUGCAGUGACAUGGAAAUCAAGAUUGUUGUAUCUGCUUGAAUAACUGUUGGGUUGCAUUGUCUGAAGAGAAACCCACUGAGUAAUAUAAUACGAGAUCAAAGCUCUGCUCCAUAAAACCGGGUUGGUUGAAGGUUAAGGUUUCCUGAAUUUAGCCUGCCCCUCACUGGUAGGUUCUAAGAACAAAAGUUCGUCAGCUUCAGCCCUUCAGUCGAGAAUAAUACGUUUACCACUGAAGGUUUGCCAUUAUUACGGGAUAGAAGACCUCCAAUGACUCCCCUCAACAGGACAUCCUAAUAGCAAGUUCCCAGCCUCGGGGUCCUCGGAUUGAGCAGCGAGAAUGCACCCACCAGAGCUAACAUAAACGCGUCUCGGAGGAGAGGCCUCGACUGAGUUCUCGGGAAAUGGUCACCAGAGUCGACGAUUUCUAAAGGAACAUCUGUCGUUAUGGAACACCCAUAGGACAGAAUAUAUCCAAAAGAAACCUCGUCUGGAAUGUGAGUCUUCAUGAACGACUUAACGUAGCAACAUGCCACAUAAACCUCAUGACUAUCCACUCUAACACCUGUGUGUACGCUCAAGCCUGGGUAGUGGGCUUAUCUCUCAUCCCACCCCAACAAACAAACAAACCACAGAACCCACAGAUACAGCAGACAUAUGUACAUGAAUGCAAUAAGGUAAAGCAGGUAAAUAAAUAACUGUACAAAAGAAUAAACACCCAACAAACAAGAAAACUACAAAAGCNNNNNNNNNNNNNNNNNNNNNNNNNNNNNNNNNNNNNNNNNNNNNNNNNNNNNNNNNNNNNNNNNNNNNNNNNNNNNNNNNNNNNNNNNNNNNNNNNNNNNNNNNNNNNNNNNNNNNNNNNNNNNNNNNNNNNNNNNNNNNNNNNNNNNNNNNNNNNNNNNNNNNNNNNNNNNNNNNNNNNNNNNNNNNNNNNNNNNNNNNNNNNNNNNNNNNNNNNNNNNNNNNNNNNNNNNNNNNNNNNNNNNNNNNNNNNNNNNNNNNNNNNNNNNNNNNNNNNNNNNNNNNNNNNNNNNNNNNNNNNNNNNNNNNNNNNNNNNNNNNNNNNNNNNNNNNNNNNNNNNNNNNNNNNNNNNNNNNNNNNNNNNNNNNNNNNNNNNNNNNNNNNNNNNNNNNNNNNNNNNNNNNNNNNNNNNNNNNNNNNNNNNNNNNNNNNNNNNNNNNNNNNNNNNNNNNNNNNNNNNNNNNNNNNNNNNNNNNNNNNNNNNNNNNNNNNNNNNNNNNNNNNNNNNNNNNNNNNNNNNNNNNNNNNNNNNNNNNNNNNNNNNNNNNNNNNNNNNNNNNNNNNNNNNNNNNNNNNNNNNNNNNNNNNNNNNNNNNNNNNNNNNNNNNNNNNNNNNNNNNNNNNNNNNNNNNNNNNNNNNNNNNNNNNNNNNNNNNNNNNNNNNNNNNNNNNNNNNNNNNNNNNNNNNNNNNNNNNNNNNNNNNNNNNNNNNNNNNNNNNNNNNNNNNNNNNNNNNNNNNNNNNNNNNNNNNNNNNNNNNNNNNNNNNNNNNNNNNNNNNNNNNNNNNNNNNNNNNNNNNNNNNNNNNNNNNNNNNNNNNNNNNNNNNNNNNNNNNNNNNNNNNNNNNNNNNNNNNNNNNNNNNNNNNNNNNNNNNNNNNNNNNNNNNNNNNNNNNNNNNNNNNNNNNNNNNNNNNNNNNNNNNNNGCCAACAAGGGGGCUCAAACAUACAUGGGUAGGGCUUUAGUCAAGAGGGGUCAUAUCAACCUCGACAAACAAGCCAUGGAAGGGUAAUCAAACGGGCUCUUAACCACUGACACUGAACGUCAGGGUGAGCAGAUCAAAAGGGUAAUGAGGAUAAGACCUCAUAGCUCUUAACCCUGGACAAGGUGAGCUCAUGACAAAAAGUGAGGAUUCAGAAAUGUGGAACCCUCUCCACUGACUGACCGGACAAAAGAUCUUGGGCUUUUAUUCUGAAGCACCGACACGUAGUGCGAGCAUAAAGAACGACACACAGAAUAACGGAGGAUUGACUACUAAUCCCUUUUGUCCGUCAAUUGCCUCUUCGUGGGGGUCUUUAGGUGCAAAAGUAAACACACAAAAAACAUCGCCUCCUAUCGAGGUCUUCCAGCUAAGAAAGCGGUAAAAUGCGGGAAAGAUAAAGGGAUCAAGAGAUCUACCACACGGAUAAAGAUCCGAAGUAACAACAAUUAAAGGAACAAGAAACCCGGAGGUCUCUCAAGCUAGCACCAUCAAAGAAAGCAAGUCAACAAAGUAAUCAGAAUAAAUCUCCAAAUGGUAUCCCACAAAUAAAGUGGAAUACCAAGCAAGCUAUCUCUUCAGGAGUCAUGCGAGCCCUCACAAAAACUCAACAAACAAGUUAGAAUAACAAGAUGGGAUGCAAUCAAGAGUUGCACCAAACAAAAGAAACAUAGCAACAACAGCGUCAGGUAAACAGUGCACGGAUGCAAAGGAAAACAAUGUCACAACAAAAAUAAAACAGAUUAAAAAGCCAACAGAAAAAAAAACAACUACUGUCAUGAUCGCUACUGCUUCGCUUAGCGAAGACUUAGCGAAGCUUCGCUACAUGCUCGCUUAGCGAGGUGCUAGCGAAUGUCUGCGGGUUCUGGGUUCUUCCUUGAUAACAGUCCGAUUUCAAGAACCCCAAACCCUAUGGUAUCCAUCUCAGAAACGAAGUGAUUAAACAUUCAAGGUAUUGUUGUACACAUUCAUGCACAUCUAAACCCAUAUGCAAAACCUAACGAUACCCACUCUUCCAAAUUCACCCAUAAUACCUCAUACAUUCAGAAAUUUCAAAUUGAAAGCAUAAAGUGAUGAAAAUAGGGCAAACCUGAUUGAAGAGAUCGAAAGAAAUUGAAUUGCACCGUUGGGUUUGCAAAGCAAUGUUAGGGUUUGUGUGAGUCAGAGUGAAAAGUCCCAGAGUCCGAGUGAAUUUUUCUCUUCAGUGUCUGGAGGCUGCUGCCGAUUAGUUAGUUUUUUCUCUAGGGUUUUUCCACUGAAUUUAUAACCUGAUUUUCGUGGCUUGGUGGGCUCAAAUGAGAGAGGUCCAAGUCCAAGAUUUUCUGUUAUAUUUUAAAACGCGUGGGCUUCGCCUAGCGAAGAAUUUGCUCGCCUAGCGAGCAUGACAGUUCAGAUUCGCUAGGCGAACCACGCUGCUCGCAUAGCGAACAUGACAGCUCAGGAACAGACUUUUGCUCCUUCAAGAUUAGCGUUUUGAAUGAUGAAUAGACCCCAUUUGAACAUGUUGGAAGUAACUCAAGUCAUUCCCUGGCCAUUUCACCUUCAGUUGACCAACAGUUGACUUUUGGCUUCAUAGUUGAAAUUUGAACCGUACUGAGCCCAUUAAGCUUGAUCCUUCAGAUAGAAUCCACAAAGUGACUUGAAUGAUAUCCGAGCUUCUUGGAAGAUAAACUCUUGGAGCUAAUUCUGAUUGACAUGAUGAAAUGCAAUAUGAAAUGUUAAAUGACCUAAAAUGAAUGCAUGAAUGAGGAAGGAAUAUCCGAGCUUCUUGGAAGAUAAACUCUUGGAGCUAAUUCUGAUUGACAUGAUGAAAUGCAAUAUGAAAUGUUAAAUGACCUAAAAUGAAUGCAUGAAUGAGGAAGGCAAAUUUGAGGUGCUACACAGGCUCAACAAACUUGAUAGUCAUGGAAGGUUCAGGUGGAAAUAGAAAAAGAAACUCUCUGACCCUCUCCUUAACCCAUUGUACAUAGGCUUCCUUCGCAAUGCAAUUCUUCUUUCUCGACUCGGCCCUGCCUUGGCGACAAACUUCUCCCCAUGCUCUGAUAAUGCUCUUCUAGAACUCUGAGUUGUCAAUCCAUUCAUACAAAACAAAUUCCUCUAGCUGCUCAAAAUUUGGCUUGUCAAACAUCGAGUAACCCAAUUGACGUAUCACCAAUCUCAGAUUGUAAUUAAUUCCUCCCUUUUUACCUAGAAGGGGUACAUUUGGAAAAUUACCACAAUUAAAGAUGAUCUUGACGUCAUCAUAAACUCUAGAAUACCAGGAAAUAUCUUUAGCUGUAAGGGACAUGAUCCUUUGGGACCAUUUCAGAUUUCCCUUGUUGUCGACGAAAGGACCCUUGCUAGGUAGAUACGUGUCGCAACCUGAAAAAUACAGUGUGCGAAAAAAAACAACCGGCGAAAGAAAAAGACAGAAGAGUCGCCACCGUGCGUUAUUCAUCCCAAAGGAGGGAAAGGAAACGCUCGAAGUAAACCUGAAAAAGGAAAGGACAAGACGGGGUCUCGCAACCAAAUCUUGGGUUCGGGAGUCGGUUAUGCGAAGGGAAGGUAUUAGCACCCCUACGCAUCCGUAGUACUCUACGGGAUCCACUUUUGUNNNNNNNNNNNNNNNNNNNNNNNNNNNNNNNNNNNNNNNNNNNNNNNNNNNNNNNNNNNNNNNNNNNNNNNNNNNNNNNNNNNNNNNNNNNNNNNNNNNNNNNNNNNNNNNNNNNNNNNNNNNNNNNNNNNNNNNNNNNNNNNNNNNNNNNNNNNNNNNNNNNAAGGAGAGAUUUGCCUCUAUCGAGUCUCCAGCUAGAGGAGUAAAAUGAAUCGGGAAAAAAUUAAAUACCACACGGAGAAAGAUCCGAUAGUAACGCCAUUAUGAGAAUGAGGAAUACCCAGGGGACCCUUCCAACUAAACACCAUCAAAGAAAGUGAGUCAGUACGGUAAUCGGAAUGAAACCCCAGGGGGUAUCCGACAUAAGUGGAAAACCACGCAAGUGUAUCCUCAAUAAAAAGUCAUGUGACCCUCACCAAAACCAGACAGAACAGUUAAAGACAAGAAAAUAGGGUAAUUCAGGGGUGCCGCCCAAAUCAAAUAUGUAACCGACAUACAAUCCGAUCAAAUUCACAAAAAGCUCACAAACAAGCAACCAACGGGUAGAGCGCAGACCUCUUGUCAAACACAUCAUCAAGAAGGGUAUCAGAAUUCCCCAUAAGACCUCAUACAUUAAAGCAAUCAAAUUAAAGGCAUAAAGAAUAGGAUUAGGCAACCGAUUGGAAGCUUGAGUGAAUAUUGAGUCUGCACCCGUGAGUUUACAAACAACUUAGGGAGUGCACGGCGGAGUGAAUCUCAGGGCUGCCUGAAGUCGCUGCAGAUAUUCCUAGUUUCCUUUCUCAAAUCUUCUGCUAGGAACUCCCAGAGUACCGUCCAAGUGUCUUUCUCCUCUACUGAAACUAGUAUUUAUAGACUGAUGUUUCGGUGGGUAUUGGGCUCAAAUGAGGGAUACCAAGUCCAAUUUGUUAUAUUUAUUGUCUUUAUUUUAAUUAAUUUUAUUUAGUCUUUUCAUUUAACCUUUUUUUUAUAAAGCAGCACAAGAGUCCAAACUCACACCCUUUAGACAAGAACUUACAAAAAAGUGAGUCCGUAAGUACUAAGCGGAUGCGUAGGGGUCUAAGACCUUCCCUUCGCAUAAGCCGACUCCCCCGAACCCAAGAUUUGUUGCGAGACCCCGUCUGUCCUUUUCUUUUCAGGUUUACUUCAGCGUUUCCUCCUCCUUUGGAUUGUAAUAACGCCGGUUGGCUGACUCUUCUGUCUUUUCCUUUCCCGCGGUUGUGUUUUGUGCACGUGGUAUGUUUCAGGUUGCCGACAGCUGGCGUCUGCUCGGAUUAAGAAGUUGACGCUCUUGCUGGCCAUCUUCCCCUAACGAGUCCCUCGCUACUUUUGUGAUUCUUGUUUCAUUGGUGUUCAUGUUUGUACGCUUAUUUACUUACCUGCUUGGCAUUCAUUGCUGUACGUUGGGCUGUUGUUUGUUUGUUGGAUGGGAUGUUUCACCGACAGAUAAGCCCUACGGGCCAGUUGAGUGGCGAGCACACAGCUUAGAGGAAUAAUCUGAGGCUGCGGCAUGUCUACGUUAAUCUCGGGAGAACACACCCAGACGAGGUUUCUUUGAUAAUUAUGUCUACGGAUGUUCCCGUAACGACCUGAUGUCCUUUACAUAUCGUCGACUCUGGUGACGCAUUUCCCCGAGGGACCUCCAGUCGGCUCUUCCUCCGAACGUGAUUAUGUAGCUCUGGUGGGCGCACUCUCGCUUGAUCAUCCGAGGACCCCGAGACUGGGAACUGCUUUAGAUUCCUGUGAGGGAGUCAGGUGGCCAGGUCUUGUUAUCCCUGUAAUAAUCCAAACCUUCAUGGUAACGUAAUAUCGCGACUAAGGCUGAAGUUGACGAACUUUCUUGGUUCUUUAAAACCUCCAGUGAGGCAGGGCUAAUUCAGAAAACGGUAACCUUCCCCAACCAACCCGUUUUCUGGACAGAGCUGUUGAUCUGUAUUAUAUUCCUCAAUGGUUUCUCUCAGACCAGUCGUAACCCGACAGAUUUCAAGCAGAUACAAAAUCCUGAGUGAACAUGCCACUGCAUUGCAUUCGCAUCAUCACAUGCAUUUGCAUGUCAUAUCAUUUAACACACAUGUUAUCCAUUUCAAGGGUUUCCAUCUUCUCUUGAUUCCAGACGGAGUUUUUCUGGUUGUCUUAAUGAUGGAUAUGGCAGAAAGCAGACUUUGUCGCUACACGUUCGGUGGUUUCUGGACCCACCAACAGUUGAUCAGUUAAUCGGAUCCUGGUUCUCUAGAAGGAUCGAGAGGAUUACGGUCUGAUUCCUAAGUUUCGUCACGUUCUUCCAAAGAUCAACGCAUGACCGCCAUCACACUGCUAACAGUUCAUGACCUCCCAUUGAGGUUCAGCACAUUCCCGAUUAAUCUGGCCCUACUCCGGAGGAGAUUGCAGUUUUCUGACAAGUCCUAUCAGGUCACAGUUAUUGUCUCACAAUUCUGGUUUCGCCGAUCUCACAUUGUGCUUCGAGCCACAUAUUGGAGGAAUCAGUCUGGAAGGCUGAAUAUGUUCAGAGAGGCAAAGUGUAUGUUUUCAUCUGAGUUUCUUACUGGGAGAACAAAGAAGAAGCUGGAAGACGGUACCAAGGGGUUUCAAUGCUCGUUGUGGUCUUUGUGUGUAUGGAUUGUCUUGUCCCUAAUGUCGCCAAAAUUUGACAUGGACGGCAAUACGCCUCUUCGUGUUGAGAAAUCCAGUACCGACCUGCUAGAGAUUUCUUUCAUUCCAGUGGCACCACAUAAAUAAGUAAUAGAAAAGGGGGAUUGUUGAAUUGUUGUGUGCCUUUGUUUAUAUGCUCAGUUCUCACCUAACCCAACAUCAGGAGGUUCAUUAAUGUCAAGGACUCGUUGAUUGGUGAAAAUUUGAUGUGGUGAGAGCUGCAAGAUAUUUCUUGGUGGUCCGACCGGAGCUUGGCUUCAGGCAAAUGCUUCAUAGUCUUGGGAACUCCCAAAAUGUUCCGUUGUGAGAAGAGAGGACAGGAAAUUAACUAAUAAUCUUCUCUAGCAAUAGCAGUUUGGAUAUCUUAAGAACCCGCCUUGAAAAAGGAUGUGGAAGAACCCUGUGUUAUUCCAUUCUUUCCGGCUGAUUUGACGGUACGCCGUAAGGCAGCUGAGCCUGGCUCAAGGUGAUUCAAGAGCGGAAAACCGUCCUUGAAAAGGAGAACUGUAGGAACUUACCGGCUCGGUUAAGAGUGGCUUCAAAGAACGAGUCGAAGAGUUUGGUCUCCGUUCCUAAUGAAGAACCUUUGUACUCACCUACUCCUGAGCAGUCAACAAUGGUGAGCCGAGAGGAGACGACAAGUUGAAGAGUGCUCAUGGAGGGACUUCUCUCAAACCAAGAACUAAGAGUUAAGGAGAAGUGAAGACGUGUAGCAUCCAAUUCCAGGGCAGAGAUAUCAGGUAUAUGGGGCAACACCCUCGAAUUUCGGCAUAGUUUUAGAGAGUGAGACCCCGAAGCAGAUGUCGAUCGCCGAGGUGGCGACGUCUUGCAGCGAGAGGACCCAGGCACGGAGAGGCCUGGGUCAUGAAUGCAGCCGCAAUCGAGUAUCCUCCCAGUGACCCAGGCGAGCUCCCUCAUACGGUCGAGAUCGCGUUGGUAGUAAGAGGCGUCGCUAGCGACCUCGUGUCUAUAUUAGCUCUUCGGUGGCUCCAAGGCAGUGCAUAUGCGCGGUAAUCCUAUUCUGCACCUUUCUCUGCCAACACACGCGAGGGCGUGACCAGUUAGCCGACGACGCCCUGCCGAGCGCCGAUGUCGGAUGCCGAGUUAUGACAAGAUAAGAAUUCUGGAACGCCUCUGACCUCUCGCUCGAUUCAAGGGUGCGAAAACACACCCAGGACAUCGAGCUUCUGGCGCUCCGUUCUACUAAUGCUACAGUCAGUCAUCUGCUCAUUCAGGAGGCCCAGGCGCAGCGCUCGACUAGAUGGCUAGGAUUUGACAGAACCAAGGUUGCGAAGCGACGCGGGGUUUGCACAGACAACUCGCACGCAUCCGCAUAUGAGCGUUAUCGCCCCGUUCUGCCCGGUCAGGCACUAAAGAAUCGAAGUGCAUGCCUCCCGCAAAUCUGAUCACGCUACAUCAGCGAGCCAGCACAUCUGCGAGACUUUCAACACGAUGGGAACGCCGACUCGAACCCACAUAGGACGCGCAACCACUACCCUGAUUCCUCUCCCAGUCCUCUGUAUCAACGCAGAACCAAUUCGAUCAUGCGACCCCCUCGUCACCUCCAGAAGGUAAACCUCCGGCCGUCGAUCUUCCGACGCUAGGAUAACCCGACCGCUCGAUCCGUGUCAGCGCUCAUUGGUCGUUAUCUUCAUUGCCCGAGUAUCGCUAUUGAUGCAACUGCUCUCCUGCUGGACGACGCCGCCCUGUCGCGCCCGGCUGACGUAGCUGUGCCUUACACCGUCUCUGGCAGCCCACAUUUUGUCAGCCGUGUACUUGUUCUGCCUUUGAGUUCUUGAUGACCCACCCGAUUCCAGCUCUAGCGCCAUUCCCGCACGGUCCCGGCCGCUCGGGGCUCUGCGAACGCUUUUCUCACGGUUCGCAAUUCCGUCUGCACGACCUCCGCAUCCCCCGUGCGAUUUUGUACCUUCCCUCUUUUUGUUUGCCAACGAAGAUCUUCGUUCCCUUUCGCUUAGGAGACUUCUCAGUAUCCUUGUAUUCCUGGCGUUCUUUUAUCCCGUAUGUGUCUGCCGCCGCCCCUCCCAUUCCUGAGCACUUCCUCAGGACAGUUCCCUACCGCAUGACUCAUACACCGUCAGUCCCUCACUAUUGCCGCUCCCCAACGGGGGGCCGCCCGCCUCCCUGAGUAAGUAGACUGAACUCAGACAGAUGAGAGGGAUCAAGAACUAAACUUAUUGUGAGCAUCUUGAUAAAGAAAUCAUUGAUCAUUUUUAUCCACCUUUUACUGCCAUUGUCAAGAUCGUUUCCAUUACCCAACGCAGUGUACCCCCCCCUUCUCUCCACCCUCAACGUACAUGGUUCCCCCCGGUCGGCCCGCGUCCACUCACCGGGUCUUCUUUCCGCGCCGCGCGUGUGUCUCAUAUUGUUGGGCUUGGAAGUUCCCACUAGCAGGCAUCAGCUUGACCAAGGCAUUGUCACGCCGCGGGUUCCGCGGCCUCUGGGGCUGGGGGUGGGCUGUGGCUUCGUCUCGAGCUGGGGAUCCUGCCGUGAGCACCCGCGACGUUGAGCGAGCUCGAUAGGCUCUUGGACACUCUGGGCUGUUGAGAGGGGGGUGGCGUACGGUACCCAUUCACGCGCCCGAGAAUCAAGACAGGAUAGCGAUGGAAGGAGCCUACUAGCACGAUGCUCCGACCGACAAGUAAUGUCAACGAUUCGUGCCAUGCUGGACCACAUCAAUUCGCAUUAUCCCUUACGAUAUGCGGCCUUAACGCAAUGCGGUGGCUCUAAGGACACAGGAGCCCUUAGAUUGUGGUGAGACGCGAUCGUCCUCCCUAUUACCAACCCGAGACGUUGGCUGAUCCUCCCCCAGCUCGGUAUGUAAGGUAGAGGUGCCACUUCGCUAUGCCGAUCCACCCUUUCCCGCCAUCCCGAUCCCCCGCCCUGGCACUGUCACCAACCUCCCAACUGAUGCAACGCAACCCCUCAAUCGUCCCAGCCGACGGUGCAGCGCCGAGAUCAGGUCUCCCGCCAAUUGCUCAUUGGUAGAGGACUUUGUGCUACCGGACUUCUUCCCCUAUCGUGAGGAAACAUUUUAACAGCCCGUCUAAGCAGUGGAAGGACUGAAAAUCUUUCUGGUGACGUGUCCCGCAACACUUUGGUUCGUUCGGACUGGAUUCGCAUGCCUAGGGCUGGCCCAGUGUGAGACGUGCGCACAGACCGGGCCCGGCCCGACACCGGCCGUUCCUCGGUCCCGACCGAAAUCCGUAUAUUUACAAGAUACCAUGGCUAGCUCUUCCCCCCAAAACCGCUCACGUGCAGCCUAUUUCGUAAAAUGGUUGCUUACUCUGACUGACCGAGAAGCUACUGUAUUGUACUCUUCCAGGAUAGCCAGUCUGCAAAUCCUUGAAGUAGUAUGAGGCCUGACAGUAGCCCACAUCCGUUGCUGGAGGAUUGCGAGAGGCUGUUCGUGAAGCAAUAUCAGUAAGAUGGCAGACAUUGGCUCCCGGCGAGAUCCCGCAGACUUCAGAAUCUGUCUCGGUUGAAAAGCAAUGAUGCUUCAGGGAGAACGCUCACCGCGGAGGAUACAGCUCCCGUGUUUCAGCCUCAUCUAUGUUGGAAAAGGAAAUGACCUAACAUGCAUUCUAUGGAAUAUCGCUGCCUUUGGACCCUUAUCUGGAGCGUCUGUGGGGUGGCAUGCUUCGCAACUGUGUGCUGAUCCGUGGUCUCGUACUGUCGAGUAAAGGCUGGAGAAUUACGUAAAGACCUAUAAGCAGAUGGAGCAGGUGGAUUCGCAUCAUCGAAGGGCGUAACAGUCGUCUCAUUCAAGGGACCACGAGAGCAAAGGGAGCAAAUGGCCAUAUCUUCUAUCAGAGAACUAUGAGAUAGGCCGUGAGGAAUAAUUCAGAGGAUAUCAUCAGCUAAGUAUGCAGUUCCUGCGGGCGGCUGUCGGACGCCGAUUCCACUGAACAGUCGCCCGACUGACACAACACACAAGCACACGUCAGACGCCAGCCAUGGUGAAGAUCAAACGGCAGCACAAACCGAACAUAGACCGCUUAUCAACAGAGGUCAGAAGGAUGAUGGACCCGCGUUUCGACACCGACUUAGCCAAAUGUCGUACGCGUCAGUUGCUUUCCUAGUCUUUCAAACACUACAACUGUGCCACAUUCGCACUCGUGCUCCCCUAUUGGUAGAACUUCCGGUGGUUGGACGACGCCGAAACAGCUAGGUGUAGCUUCCACUUCGUGGGCGAACCUGGCCACAAUAUUGAUGAACUGGCGGAUACAGCUUUUAAGCCACGUAGUUCAAGACCGUCAUAAGAUUCAAAGCCUUCGACCUUGUACCUGGCUCCGAGGAAUUCCAGUUAACAAUCCCAUCCCCCAGCAUGUGCUGCUGAAGUUAACAUAUGAUAGGCAGGGUAAAAGCUAAGUCCAUUAAGGAUGGUUGAAGUGUGAAGACUCCAUUAGUUGGAUCAUCAAAUGGAUGCUUGCUGAAGGCCGAUGUUCCCCGCCUCGGUUUGUGGGAACGGUUGUUUGCGACUUGUGCCACUCGGAGCUGGAGGUUUUUUGAAGCUACAGUCAGGGUAAUCCAGGCCUUGCUCAAGCAAAGGUAUCCUCCAGGUUGACAAUUUGUCUUUCCAAAGAGUCCUUGUGAAGGGGUUGAGGAAGAUGUUUCGAGAUCCUAGAUGAAUCGCAGAUGUGUUCUCUACUGGAUUCUGUGAUCCAUGAUGAUGUUGUCGCUGAUAUUCCAAACAUGGUUUGAUUCCUGAUGUACUUGCUGGAACUUGAUUCCGAUGUUCGAUUGUGUACUCCAGAAAGCGCCUCAGACUCGCAGGGUACAGCCCAGCCCCCGUCCGAAUUUUCUCCCGCUAAGAUCCUCCAUCGCGCACAGGCACACAAUCAUAAGUUCACUACUUUCUUACUCCCUCAAGGAUCCUAUUUGACACCGACCUUGAGCUUCCCCCUUCGGCUAGUGCGUUAUACAUGUGAGUGUCGGUUCGAUCCGAUCCUAAGCCAUGUUUACGUUUAGCAUUUGUAUAUCAUUGCUUUUCAUUUGUUUACUAACCAAAAGUACAAAAAUAUUGUCAUCUAACCUUGUUGCUUGCAGAUGAAGCAAUUAGGUCAAAUCAGUCAAAAUCAGUCAUUGAGCAGUAGAUGGUGGCCAUUCUUGAAGAAUUUGGGCACCAUGAUCAUUCAUAAGAGAUUCAUAUGAGUUAUGGUAUCACUUGGUAUCAAGAUCUCAAGAGAAAGAGGCUUGAAGGUCAUCAGAACAUGGCUCAGUCAACCAAAACCCUAGCAAAGUCAACUGUGGUCAACUGUGCAUUUAAUCAAGGAUUUGAAGGUGUGAGAUGGUUGGAAAGGUCUCAUUCAUGUCCAUGCAAGUCUCAAUUAACAUUUCAAAGAUCAUCAUUGAAGAAUUUGAGGUCAGACAAGAAGUUUCCCAGAAUAGUAAGGACCUGUAAUUUCAAACUGCCCAAAAUGGAAAGUCCUUCUCCUCAAAUUUACAUGUCCAAGCAAGCUUCAAAUAAAAUUUUGUCCAACAUGAAAGUUGAAGAUCUUGCUCUCACCUUUUCAAAAAGUCCAAGAACACUCAUUUCUCAUGUGUGGUUGGCAAGUUAUGAUCAAAUCAUUUUCAAGAAUUUUGGAACUUCAAGGAGGCAUAACUUUCAAACCAUUUGGCCAAAUUGAGUGAUUCUUUUUUGAGCAAAUCCUAUUUGACAUGUACUAUCAUAAUCCAUCAUUACAUUUCAUCAAAAAGCAUCACAUAAAAAGGUAAUUUUUCAAGUGAACCAUUUUGCAUUUUGGUGGGGAAAAUAGUGAAUUUGAAAAAUACACAUGAUUUUCAUGCCAAACCACUUCCAAUAGCUUCUAAACAAGAAUUUGGAUUUGCUUCAAGUAGAAACUUACUGUUCCAUUGGUUGCACAAGCAUAAGGGCAUUUUGGCCAACUUGACAUAAAGCUCAUUUUCACUAAUCCAUUUGGUUUGUCUUAAUCAUGAUUAAGAAGUUGGAUUAACAGGACUAUAUCAAGUUCCAUUUAACUUGAUGACACAGAAAAUUGUGGAUCCAACAAUGAUCAUCUUUUACUCAGUCACAAUAAGUGCAAAUCGCAUCCAUAAAUUCUCUCAAAAAAUCUCAAGCUUUUGGCAGCUUUUUCCAUCGAAAUCAAAUCAUCUUUAUUGCUGUUCUUGUGCUGAUAUUGAUUUGCAGGAAGUGUUGAUCAUCUGUUGAAGGAGAAAUCGCGAAGAACCUUGCUAAAUCACCACUGUUGCACAUUGAAGGUUCCCAUGGUAGUUGCGAAUUUCACUGGAUUCAAGCAUUGCUGAGCUGAAUUAUUGCUUCCAUUCAUCUUCCUAAUCAUCAUAGGCUAUCUGUUUUCAACUUCCAAGUCCUGAAGAACACGAAAUCAACAGUUGCAUCUUCAAGAGGUAGGAAUCCAAAUCUUUCAAUUCUUGAAAUUAUCAUGUGGCUUGUGUAGAUCUUGGCGUGUAGAUUAUUCUGCAACUUGAAUCGUGCAUUUUCAUUAGAAAUUAAGGAAGUUAUGUUGAUUUGAACCUUUGGAUGUUAGAACUUCUUUUGCUCGAUCCGGUUGAUAUGUUUAGAAUUAGGACAAAUUGAAGCUAGAUUAAUGAUGUGUGAGGCAUGACGUUUCGAUUGAUAUGCGGAUUGUAAAUUUCUGUGUGAAUGUGUUCUUGAUGAUGAUGAAUGCUGAAGAACACGAUGAGUUCUUCAAAUUUUCUUUUCCAGAUGUGUUUGAUCUACUUUGCUUCGUGUUUGCAUGCGCUCCGCUGUUUUUCCGCCAUGCCACCAAUAGCCGCGUGACACCUCACUUAAUGAAACGCAGCGUUUCAUUAAGUGAGCGCUGUAAUUACAACAAUGCCAUUCGUCCACUUAUUUCAUUUAAUUUUUUUAAAUGUUUAUUUCAUUUCAUGAUUAAACUUCAAAAAAUCAUAAAUAAUUCAUUCUUCAUCCAAACUGAGUGGGAAUUUUUGCAUUGAUCUCCAUUUUUCCUCUAGUUUUUUAAAGGCAUGAUAACACAAGUUGUGCACGGCUGGUUUUUAUUUUGGUCUAUUGUCUUUGUUCAUGAAUGCUUUUUGCCUAUGUUUUGCCAUUUCAUUCAUGAAAUCUUGAUGCUUGCUCCAAAAUGCUUGAAAUUUUAUAUGCAUGAUCUAGACUCAUUCCUGAACAUUUUGGUGUAUAGUUUGCUAAUUUUGCAUUUCUGGAUUAGGAGAUAUGAUGUAAUCUUUGAAGGUGUGACAAUGUAUGUCACACCAUGUCUUGUUCAUGUUCCUGAUUUUAUUUUCCAUGCUUAUGCUAUACCAAUUGCUCUGGAUUUUUGCAUGAUAAUACUUAUGGAUGUCUAGUUUGCUUGUGAUUUUUCCUGGAAUUUUGGAAUGCAUUUUAAAUUUGUUUGAUAAUUUUCCCUCUGUUUGGUCAUUUGUGAACUUUUCUUGAGUGUUCAAUUUACAUGAUUUGUGAAAUCCUUGUGGUUUAUUGGAUGAACUUGAAAUUUGGCAUGUGCAUUAUAGACAUCUUAAAGGUUGUCAUGGCUUUGAUUGCAUUCAUUUAUCAUGUUUGGUCACUAUUUUAUGAUUGCAUGAACUUGAUACAUGAUUUGUGGUCUUGUAUGAGCUUGUUUGAACAUGCUUUGACGUGUUGAUUUUCAUUGACCUGUUUCCACUUGUCCAAAUGACAUGAAAUUUGGUGUGCUACUCAUUGAAUGUGUUCUGGUUAAGCAUGAUUUUUCCUGGAAUUUAUUGAGCCAUUUUGGUAUCGAUAUGCUUGUGUUCAUUCUGUUUACAUCAUUGAGUUCUCAUCUUGCCUAGUUUGACAUGAUUUGCUUAUGAAAUGCAAUUGAUGAAUGCUUUUGAUAUGGGACCAACUGGAAUUUGUUCUUAUUGGAUAAAUCUUGAUUUUGAUCAAGUUUCAUGUUCUGUUUUAAAUAUUUUCUCCUCCUUGGACCCUAGGCUUUGGCCUAAGGGUUCACUUCUCACAUUUGAAUUUGAUUUUCAGGUUUAAGAAGCAACUGCUUUAAGGAGAUUAAUUCAAGUUGAUUGAGUUUGGGUUUGCUUGAUUGUGAUGAACUAACUUGGUUUGUUUUGUAGGAUGCUAAUUCAUUUGAUUUGAGUUUAUGCUUUGCACAUGUGAUUGAUUGUGUUGACUGUUGGCUCUUAUCUUGUCUGUUUGGACUUUGUGAUUGGUAUACUGAUUAUAUUUGAUUGAUUUCAGGUACCAUAGUUGCUUUAGUUCCUUUGUGAACUUGCUAUUGCUUUGCUUUGCUUAAGCAUUGAGGUAGACUCUCUUGUCUCCAUGUAGUCUGGAAGACCUGGCUUGUUAUUUAGCCAGGCACCUGUCUGAAGUCCUCCUUAAGAGGCAAUGUUUGUGAUUGUUUAACUUUGUCCCCAAGCAGGAAAAGACCUCAUGUGAGGCAAUUGGUAGACAAAAGAGAUAUGUAGCCUAUCUCCUACUAUUCUGUGAGUCUCUCACCUUGCUCACACCACAUGUGUUGAUGCAUAGUGAGUAAAAACCCAAGAUCUAUCGAGUCUAACUUGUGGAGAGAGUUCCAUCUUUCUGAACUCCCACACCUUCUGAUAUUCAAUGCUCUCCCUGACCAGGGAUAAGAGUGAUGAGGCACACCCCUCAUAUCCUUUCAUCUGCUUCACCUUGGCUCUCAAUGUCAAGGUUAAGAGCACCAUUUACCCUAUUCCAGUUGACUUUUAAGUCUAACCCUUUGAUUGAGCCUAAUUGUUUGGUUAUAGUGUGUGCUAAAUGACUUUGUUUGAUUGAUUGCUUGUUGCAUUUGUACAUGUUUGCUUGCUUGCCUUUGUGCACUUAUCAUCAUUGAUUGUUCAUUAUUGCAUGAUCAUCAUUGCAUAUCUUUGUGAUCCAUGUUUGGUUUACCCAUUGAGGACAACUGUAAGUCCAUUCAUUGGCCAUUGUUCCUAUGAUUUGGAAGGGAUAGAGUGUAAGACCAUUUCACUUGGCCACUUAUGUCCAUUGCUUAAAUGCUUGUUUGUUUGUUGUAUGUGAGGAUGCAAUUGUAAGACCAUGUUGUUGGCAUUUGUACUCCCAUGAUCAUCCUUUGGAGGUUGGUAUAAGUCCAGAUAGAUUGGCAUCUGACAUCCAUGUUUUGUUUUACUUUAGGAGAUUGGAGUAAAUCCAUUUAUUGGUAUCCGAUAUCCGCUUUUGCUUUUGUCAGAUUGGAGUAAGACCAUUUAUUGGCUUCCGGUAUCAUUGUUUUGUUUUAGGAGAUUGGUGUAAACCCAUUUAUUGGUAUCCGGUAUCCGCUUUUGUUUGUGAGAUUGGUAUAAGUCCAUUGAUGGCAUCCGGUAUCACCUUGCUUUUAUUUGCUUACUUGCACUAUUGCUUUAUUCCUAAGGACACACUUGAAUCAUCUUCUAUAUGAUCUCAAGAGGUGAACCUUUCUGAGAAGUUUUACACUCCAUUAUCCAUACCCUCUUUGUCCUAAACUUUUUCACACUUUGCUUUUAAAAUUUUGACUUGUUGUGCAAACAUUCUCAUGUCUUUUCAAAUUAGAAACCUGGACCCUAAGUCCUUGACUUUUCAAACUCCAUUUCAUAACACUUCUUUGAAUCAAUCCUAAUCAUACCUUGACCACAUUUUGUGAAUAAUCAUAAUCAAUUAACUUCACCCAUUCAAUUGUUUUGUGGCUUUGUCCAUUGUUAAUAUGUUUUCAUACAUUAGCCGUAGGUUUCAAUUACCAUAGUGGUUAAUGUAAAUCUUACCUUAUCCUUAGUGAGUUGAUUGUAAGUCUUCCAUACUUAUUAUAGGGUUAACCCCUCACUAGUAUGUUGGAGCCGUCCUCGCAUGGUGGAUUGUUGAUUCAGGUUGAGUUUUCUCCCAUUGGUAAUGAAAAGCCUUAGAGCUUGUGUUUUAAAAUGAACUCACUAAUUUUUGGAAAUCUUUUAGCCGAACUACGGCGUUUUGAUCCUUACCUUUGAUGGAAGGUANCUGUGAAAAGGGCUCCUAGGAGUCCUAGGACGUGAUGGGUGCCUGAACACCUUCCCAUUGCGUAAUUUACCCCUUACCCGAUUCUUGAUUCUUUUAUUGGUUUCUACGUGUUAAACUGCUUAGGUUUGUCGCUUUUAACCAGUCCUUAGGAUAAAUAAAAAGUGCGGUGGCGACUCGAUUUCAUUGUAUACUUUGGCUUAUGGUUUAAUUCAAUAAAUCACUAUAGCGACGAAUAACCGCUAUAGUAGGGGCCGAUUACUUUCUCAGUGGGGUUGUCAGUUCCAAUAUGGCCAGGUCUCUGCAAUCAAACGAAAGAAGAUGGGGAUAGUGAUUGUGGACAUUGACCAACUGGGUGCGUCCGAGGAUCCGGGUGAAGUCAUCAACCAAUUGGUCUUCGGAAAGAGAUUAUCCAAGUCACUCUCUUGAAGGAGUAAAUUUUCUGUUGUUUAAUUCAUGCAUAUCCAAGUAUUUUACGGUUCCGCCCAGGGGCGUAAUGAAACCAUGUAGGGCCCGUCUAUGUGGACACUUUGCAUUUUUAUUUCAUAAAAUAAAGGACGUAUUUUGCAUUCAAUAUUUUCGUUCCUGUCUUUCUAUUUUUGCAGUUUUUCAAAAUAAAAAAAAUGGCAAUGUUUUGUUAGUUUCCACAUUUUUUUUCACACUCAUUAGCACAUUUACCAUCACUCAUGCAGAUGCACAUCCACCGGAUCUAUUUGAUAACGGUUUCUGCUUUUAUUGGCUUCGCUUCGACUUUUGAAAAAUUCAUCUUUCAAGCUGAAGGAACGAGGGUUGAUUGAAGACUUGAAACUCCCUGAAGAGCUUACCAGGUUUAUUUAAAACCAAGAGGAAAGGGUUAUUUUCAAACGCAUCAAGAUGUACUGUUAAGUUGAUAAUCUCGGCACCGGGAUGGCCAAAAGAGAAAUCAAGAUAGGGGCUGCCUUUAGAAGACAAUGUGAAGAAGGCUUGAUUUGAAUUGCUGCCAGAAUUCGUUGACAUCUUCGCCUGGUCUUAUUUCAGGGACAUGCCUGGGCUGGACACAGACAUCGUGGUUACCACCGCUUUGCCUCUCAAAGAAAGUUUGUCCUCGCGGUUCAAGCAGAAGCUCCAGAAGAACAGACCAGAAGAUGGCUGUCAAGAUAAAGGAAGAGUUGCUAAAAGCAGUUGGGAUGCAGGUUUCUAGAGUCACCAAUUAUCCGCCCAUGGGUUUUGCAAACAAUCGUCCCAGUACCUAGGAGGAUGGGAAAGGUUACGGAUGGUUGUUGUCGACUACCGGGGAAUCUGAACAGAGCUAGCCCUAAAAAGAUGAUUUUCCCAUUACCUCACAUCCGACCGGUUUGGUGGAUUAAUACAGCAGCUCCCAGUUCUCGGAUAUUUUCUCCUCUCAUGGAUGGCCUUUUCUGGCUAUAAACCAAAUCAAAGAUCGCACAGAAGACAUGGAAAAAAAGGACAAAAACUUUCAAUAAACCCCAUGGGCACCUUUCUGGCUACAGUGAUGCCGUUUUGUCUGAAAAAAUGCCGGAGCAACAUAUCAACGGGAAGCUUAUUGGUAACUCUGUAUUCAUGGUAUGAUUCAUCAUUGAAAUCGAGGGUUUAUGUGGAUGAUUUUAUGAUUGCCAAAAUUCUUCAGACAGAAGAAAGAACAUUUUGGUUGGAAUUUGCAAGAACUGUGAGCGUUGAGGAAAUUCAAACUGAGGGACUUAACCCGAAACAAGUGCACUUUCGGGGUGAGAUUCUGGGAAAUUGCUGGGUAUCGUUAUUGGAAAAAGGGAUUGGGUUGGAUCCCGACAAAAGUAAAAGCGAUACAGGAAAUUGCCAGGAGCCAAAAGAACAGAGAAAGCAAUGUCCGUAGUUUCUUAGGGAGGUUGACUACAUUGGCAAAGGUUUCAUCUCUCACCUAACAACACCGUGUGGAGCCAAUUUUCCAAAAUUGCUGAGGAAAGAUCAAGCUAGUCAGGUGGAAUGAAGAUUGUCAAAGGGGCUUCGAGAAAGAUAAAAAGAGUAUCUACAGAAAACCUCCCGAUCCUUAUACCUCCAGUUCCUGGGAGGACCUCGGAAUUUAAUGACCUAUCGUGGACUUGAAGAACCGAUGGGGUGUUGUAUUGGGACAGCAUUUGGACGAAAGUCGGGUCGAAAAAAGCCAUGCCAUAUACUACCUUAGGAACAAAAAGGUUUACCGGACUGUAAGCCAGAUAUUCGCAGCUGGAGAAAAACUUGCUGUGCUUUUGGCCUGGGCUGCUCGCCGACUGGGCAGUAUUGUUGAACCAUACUACCUUGUUGAUUUCGUAAGAUGGAUCCAGUUGAAAUACAUAUUCGAGAGCCAGCUCUCACCGGAAGGGUCGCUGCGUUGGCAAAUGAUUUUUAACAGAGUAUGAUAUUCAAGACACGUCACAGGGAAGGGCCAUCAAAGGUAGAUUUCUGUUCAGACUACCUGUGCCGAGCAGCCGGUUUGAUGAUUAGAGCGAUGAAGGUUUUGAAUCCCUGAUGAAGACCAUCAUGUUCCUCAAGAUUGGAAAGACUUUUGUUGAGAGCCAGUUGUUGAGAGGGACCCUGAUCCAAACGAAAAGUGGACCUUUGUUGUUUGAUGGGGCUGUCAAUGCUAGAGAAGUGGAAUUGGUGCUUGUCAUUGACAACUCCGCAAAGGUGCCCACAUACCUUUUCACCGGCCUCGUUUGAAUUUUGAAGUUGCACAAAUAAUGAGCUGAGUACGAGCCUGUAUCUUGGGUAUUGAGCAAACCAUUGAUUGAAGAAUCAAGGGACCUUUGGACAUCUUCGGAAAGAUUCAGCUCUGGUGUAUUCAAUCAAGUGAAUGGUGAUUUGCGAAUACUUCCCAGCCCACUUGUCCCCUACAAAGAGACUUACACGAGAAGACUUGUUGGACUUUCUUCACAACAGUAAAUUGUAUCAUUAUACCUCGUGAUGAGAGCCAGAUGGCAGACGGCACUUGCUACUCGUAUCCUCCAUUUGAUUUCAAGGUAAUUCGCUGGAACCAUGCUCCCAGGGAUCGAUGUGAUUGUGCUUGACAGGGCCGCAUAUGUGUUCUGCUGAACUGGUAGUCGAUGACAAGCCUUUGGGUAUCACGAUAUUUCAAGUGCUUUUCUGAAAGAAUCGAAGGUACCUGCAGGGGGUAUCAACAACGACAGAAAGACUUUGAGAAGAUUGGCAGGGCAGUUUCUUGCUUGAACAAAGGACGAUGCUGCUGAUAUAAGAGGAACUUUCGACUUGGUUUUUGCUCAGAUGCGUGGACAGACACGAGGCGGAACAUGUUAAUGCAGGAAGGUUCAUGAAAGGUUCCUUCUGGUACUUUCAUUGCCGGCGGAAUGCAAAUGGCUUAAGAAAUUUUUGAGGAGCGGGUUAGUUAUGGAUGACCAGGGAAUUCAGAUUUGCUUCAAAUUAUGCUCGGAAAGUGUCAUAAAUGCCAUAUUUAUGCUGAUAAGGUGCAGUACCGCGAAUUCCUCUGAAUGUGAUGUCUUCGCCGUGGCCGUUUUCUAUGUGGGUAUUGUAACAUGAUGGAAAAGAUUGACUGGACUGGCUUCCAAUGGGCAUCGCUUCAUCCUUUGUUUGCCAAUCGACUAUUCUAUCAACAAGUGGGUCGAAGGGCAACGUCGUUUCCGCGAAUGCACCAGACAUGUGGGUUGCCCGUGUUUCAUCAAGAUAAGAAAAUAUUUGUCGCUUAUGGGAUUCCCGAAAGAAUCAUUACUGAUAAUGGUUCUAAUCUCAACAAACAAAAUGAUGAAGGAGUUGUGCCAGAACUUCAACAUUCAAAAACAUUCACAAAUUUCUCCCCUUACCGCCCUAAGAUGAACGGCGCUGUUGAGGCGGCAAAUAAGAACAUAAAGGAAAAGAUUGUGCAGAAAAGAUGGUCGUCAACGUACAGAGAUUGCAUGAGAUGCUAACCUUUUCGCCUUUGGCAUGGUUUACCGCCAACUUCAGUCGUACAUCGACCGGGGGCAACCCCUUACUCCCUGGUUGUAUGUAUGGAAGCAGUCCUACCUGUUUUGAAGUGAGAUUCCUUCUCUUAAGAGUGUUCUUUUUGAUGUCAAGUUAGAUGGAAAAGGCGAAAUGGAUUCGGACCAAGGUUCAAUGAGUGAUCUUAUCGAAGAGAAGCGAAUUGGCAGCCAUUUGUCAUGUUUGCAGUUGUAUCAGAGUCGGGAAUGAAGAGAGACGCUUGUGAUCGGAAAGUGCGUCCUCUUGUUUUCCAAGUCGGAGAUUUAGGUUGAAAAAAGGAUCCUUUUCCUCCUCAGACAGAUCAGCAGGGCAAGUGGACUUCCUAAACUAUGAUGGAGCGUAUAUUGUCACCAAGGUUUUUUGAUGGUGGGGGCCUUAAUGCUGGCAACUAUGGAGGUGAAAACUUCACUUGCGCCCUGAAACCAGACGCAGUUAAAAAAUAUUCCGCAUAAAAUAGACCCGCUAGACAGUAAAAAGAAUAGUCCAGGCGCAAAAAUGGGCAUCCGACGAACCAAGAAAAUAGAAAGGUUCGGCGCCAAAAAAUUACGGAUUAAAAUGAAAAGAUCUUAACCCCGGUAAUGUUGAAAAACCUGAAAAGGCAACUUGGCAAAAAUUGGGGUAUCCGGUGAUUGAAAACCCGAAAUAGGGCGAUCCAGGCAAAAGUAGGGGUUAGACGCAUGACUGCGUUCUGAGUUAGUUCGAAUCUCAUCUCAUGGUCGGAUGACUGGAAAUUUUCGAAGAAGGUAGGAAAAGUCGCAUCACCUUUUCAGAAGGCGAUCAUCUGAGGAUCUUGAAGACGAGGCAGUCUAACAGAAUUGGAACGCCAAUAGAAAUCCUUUCACAUUGCCAUUAGGAUUAAUUUCUGCUUUUUAUCGUUUUGUGCGAUUACUCUCUUCCAGGGGAUUGCUUCCUGAUUUAAAUGCUAUUUCAGAGCCAUUCAAUCAAUUAAAAUCAUGUUUAUUUCGGUAUAUCUCUGUUUCAUUUUCAUUUUAACUGUUUUGUUUGCAAAAAUCGACGUCCGACUUUGUAAACAUGCAUCAUGACACAUAAGGGCUUGUACCGGUACAUGCUUAAUAAACCAUUUAAAAUUGUUAUAAAUUUUAAGUGCUUUGGGAUCGUCUAUUCAGAACAGUUACCCUCGGGCAUUCCUUAAAUCCCUGCAACUUAUGAUCGUGAUUGAUCUUCCCAGUGAAGUCGCCAACAGCGAAUCCGGUGUCUUCACCCUGCAGAGCAUGAUCAGAGUUUUGAAUUUUCUUCAAUCCCCAGCAGGUUCUUCACCACAUUACUUCCCCAGCGUCUUGUUUCAGACUACACUCCGUUCCAGUAGAGUUGACAGUGCCAGGACUUAUCCAGGAUGACAGUCCCAGCAGAUCUUUCCGACGAAGUUGCUCUUAGACGUAUCCACGAGUCGAGUUGAGCUCCUAAUCGCCAAUCGAUAAUCAUCCAGAUCCUGUUCUGUUCGCUUGAAGCGGAACCUCGGUACGUAUCAGUGUUUGCUUCCCUGUUGAGUCAUUCUCUGCGCAGAUCGUGGUGCAGAACGCCACUAUCGCUUUCCCACAUGCAGGUGUUCCAUAUCUUCUCUCUGCCCCAGUCAGAAUCUCGGUAUUUCGUCAUUGCUAGAAAACCGUGUGGCGGGUCAUUUCCCCACAGCGAAUUCUUUGUGUGCUGGUGAUUCCAACCAGGCCCUGCCAAGGGUCCAGAAGAUGGUGACAUUUUCCCCAGUAGUCCUGUGCCUCAAGCUUGGCAAUUCAACCCAGCAUUUUGGGCUACCGCUGCAUGUAGAAUCAUUAUUGGCAUUGCAUCCCUCGCCAAAUCGCGUAGCAUUUCGAUUUUCAUGGAGCAUGUACCCAUUGAAAAGAUUCAAAACAGUACGCAUGAAGCAUUAAACAUUCUGGUAUCCCAGAGUGAUAAGCUAGAAGUGUUUUCCAGUACCAGGACUGAAGAUUGUUUUCAUGACCCACCUUGGUUAUCCACAGCAAGUGUCAUUGGCCCAUGCGUCGCCUCUAUUUUCUUUGCCAUAUUUCUGGCCGAUGCUGACAGGCAUGAAGUUUUCCGGUAUCAGACCGAAAGUGCAUUCGCCAGUUUCCGUAUCCAGACCGAGUGGCAUUUCAAGGCCAUGUUUCGGUAUCCAAGACCGAAGUGGCAUUCAGGCCAGUUUUCCCGAUAUUCAGAUCGAAGUGGCAUUCAGGGCCGACAGGUCUUUCCGAUGUUCAGAUCGAAGUUUCCAGACGUUUCAGGUCGAUGGCGACUUGUGGCAUUCAAGGCCAAUUUUCCGAUGUUCAGAUCGAAGGUCCUUUCAGUGAUUCAGACUGAUGAGGCGCGUUCAGGCCAUCGGUUACUUUGGUGUUAUCCAUUAUUUGGUAUCCAGUUUAUAUCAUUCUUUUCGAAUAUCAGACUGACUCUCCACCGUACCGAACGAUCUGCUGUUUCCAAGACCACUCUUUGCCGAUUCUUGACAGACUUGUUGUUCACUCACUUUUCCAAGUUUUUGGGCAAAUUUUUGGCUUUUAAGUGUAUUCAAUCGCCUUGAUACCGUCGAAAGUACGGAAGCAGCUGCCAUCUUUCUUUCCGGGUCUCCAGCUUGAUGUGAAAGGGAGCUCUGUAAUUACCCCAAAUUUACCCUUCAUUUUUCCUGGGAAAAAAAAGAAAAAAAAAAAAAAAAAAAAAGAAAAAAAAAAGAGAAAACAAAGAAGUUAAAAUAAUAAAUAAAUUAAAAAUUAAUUAAAUAAAUAAAUAAAUAUACAAAUUUUUUUUGGACUUGGGCUCCCUCAUUUGAGCCCACUACCCAUGAAAAUCAGUCUAUAAAUACUGGAAUUCAGUAGAGGAAAACACACUUGGAGUUACUCUGGAGAUCACUAGAGAAAGAUUUGAGAGAAGGAAACUAGGAACUACUCUGCAGCGACCUUCAGGCGCCCUGAGAAGUUCACUCCGCCUCACAUAAACCCAAAGAUUGUUUGGUAAACCUCACGAUGCAACUCAUUUCAAUCAAGCUCUCCAUCAGGUUUUGCCCUAUAUUCAUCAUCUUUAUUGCCUUUAAUUGGAAUGCUCUAAAUGUAUGAGGUAUUAUGGGUGAAUUUGAUACCUUUUUGAUGCAUGGUUUUGACAGAGGUUUAGGCUCCUACCCUGGUUUGCGUUUUGUGAGCUUUUUUGUGAAUUUUGAUGGAAAUUAUUCAUGUGGUUACAUUUUGAUUUGGGGGCAACCUUGAUUACCCUAUUUUUUUGUCUCUAACUGUUUGUUGAGUUUUUGUGAGGGCUCACAUGACUUUUGCAGGAUAACUUGCGUGGUUUUCCACUUUAUUUGUGGGAUACCCCCUGGAGGUUUCAUUCGAUUACCUGUACUGGACUCACUUCUUUGAUGUGUUUAGCUUGGAAGGAUCCCCUGGGGUUUCCCAUUCCCUAACUGCUGUUACUUCGGAUCUUUAUCCGUGUGGUACUUUUACAUUUUUCCCGCAUUUUACUGCUUUCCUAGCUGGAGACCUCGAUAGGAGGCAAUUUUUUGUGUUUUACUUUAUGGCGGUUCCUUUGUCCAGGGUUAAGAGCUAUGAGGUCUUAUCCUCAUUACCCUUUUGCAUGCGCGUUCCUACAAUGCAAACAAACCCUUCAUUGAUUUUUCUUCUCCAUAACACACGUUUACUCCUUUUACUACAGGUGAGUAAGUCUCCAAAGGUCGAGCAUCCGGUAGAUUGCGUAGUAACGUCGUUCAUCCAAAACCCACUCCAUAACCCCGUAGUUAGCCGAACUACAGCUUGCUCUGAUUCUCAUUCCAGAUGAGAUACGUAGGCAUAAGACGCGAUGUCUUAGCGAGCACACAUCCCCCCAACCCAUAGGUAAGCCGAGCUACGAAGACUCUAAUUCUCAUAUUCAUAUGAGAUACGUAUGCAGUGGAUGCGACAUCCGCGCGAGUCAUUUCUCUUAACCUUUUUAGUAAAUAAGCACAUUAGGUAAACCCACACCCUUUAGACAAAAACCACAAAAGUGGAUCCCGUAGAGUACUAUGGAUGCGUAGGGGUGCUAAUACCUUCCCUUCGCAUUAACCGAACUUCCCGAACCCAAGAUUUGGUUGCGAGACCCCCGUCUUGUCCUUUCCUUUCAGGUUUACUUCGAGCGUUUCCUUUCCCUCCUUUGGGAUGAAUAACGCACGGUGGCGACUCUUCUGUCUUUUUCUUUCGCCGGUUGUUUUUUUUUUCGCGCACUGUAUUUUUCAGGUUGCGACAAUACGAAAUAAACCAUCUAUAUAUCAAGGGUAUACAACACACGAUGGUUCCUUUCCUUUUCUGAUUCUCACGUGGAUAGAAUAAUAAGUUUCAGCAAGAAGAGUAGGAAUAGGGUUCUUGGCCAUGAAGAGAUAUAUAAAAGCCAAAUCCAUAAAGUCUUCCAUAUUCGGGAACAGUACAAUUCCGUAUAUGAUCAAAGCAAAAAUAAUAUUAAAGGCACUCAAACUUUCAUCUUCAGCAAAGGUAACAACCUUGUCAACCAGAAACUUCAAGGCAAAACCAUGGGUCCCACCCUUAGGUUUAAGGUUAAGUUCUACUUCCUUCUUCCCCAUGUGAAGGACUUCAGCUAGAUGUUGAGACUUAAGAAGCUCCUUUGUACGGACAAACAGAACCUGACCCUGAAUCUCAAUCCCCAAAAUGUGUGAAUAUUCCUCAAAAGUUGGAGCCAACUGAUAGUCCUGGAACGUGAAGCAUCUCAAUGGAGGGUCAUAGAAUUGUACCAGAGUAUGAACAAUUGUUAUAUUGACUUCGGUGUUAAGAAUACCCAGGAGAUUACCGUAGGUCUUCUUGAAAUUCUCUUUGUUGUCAAGAACCAAAUGAGCUCCCAAUCCUCUCAGGGUUUUCAAUGGAGGUUCCUCAAACUUGUAGCUAUACAUGCUUCUUCUGGUAGGAUCCAUUCUCUACUGGUCACUCAAACAAUGACUUGCCUCUUGAAUUCCCUGGAAAUGUACAUGAAAAAAUUAAUUUCAAAAUGAUGUAAUGGUAUGCAAGCAUCAUAGAUUCAACAACUCAGUAUAAUUUGGAGAUUCUGGAUAACCUGACCAUAUCACACAGUAUAAGAUCAAAGGUCUGACAUGACCUAGAAAAUCUGGGUAACCUUUCCAUGUAACUCAGUAUAGGAUCAAAAGUCUGAUAUAAUCUGAGAAAUCUGGAUAAAAUAACCUGUCCAUGUAACUCAAUAUAGGAUUAAAGAUCCGACAUAUAUAAGAGAUCAAUGGUAUGAAUGGUCUUGGUUUCCUGCAGAAAAACCUAAUAGCCCCUCUCGCAUGUGUGUACUACUCCUCAAAGGUGGUCCCUAAAAGGUCUCCUAGAGUCAUCGACUCAAAUGAAAAUACCCUGCCGUAGCGAAUUCUCGCAGGAUAAAAAUACUUCCAAGUGAAUCUAGUUUGGGUGUGGUUCUCAUGACAACCCGAUGUGCAAAACGUAGGCCGACACGACUAUCCACGAGUCUAUCCCGUGUGUAUACUCAAGCUCAUGUGUAGAGCUUAUCUCAUAUAGUAUCAUCCCAUCCCAAUAGAUAAUAUGGCAGAUAAUAUCCAGAAUACAACAACACAUGAAUAUUUAAAGUAGUACAGUAAUGCAAUAAAUAACAUAAAGAAAGCGAGUAAAGCGAUAAAGAUAAACACCCAAAGCACGCAAAGAAAGCAAACAAAACUGGGCUCGAGCUACCUAGGAAAAGGGUUCCCCAAUAGAGUCGCCAGCUGAAGCUACGCAAAUUAUAUCCGAGCGCAUCGUAUGCUCAAAGAUACAACAGAGUCGCCAUCGAACUUUAUUUAUUCCCAAAGGGUUCGAUAAAACCCGGGGGAAAGAGAAAAGGGUAAGGAUGUCAAUUAUGCAAGGGAAAAUUAUUAGAAUUCGUCACAUCUGUUGUACUCAACGGGAACCGUUUUGAAUGUUCUUUGCAAGAAUGGGUGUUACCAUCUAAAAAUUACUUGCGAAAGGGUGAAAAGGGGUUAAUAAUUAGAUGUGAAAAAAGGUAAUAAAUAAUUGUGAUCACCAAGUAUUUGGGCCCUCGUGCCUAUGGAUACUCAUUCGUGCAAUGAGGAAAUCAAAGCUCCGUAGUUCGUGGAACUAAGAUGGAUGCGUUAGUUUUUUUUAAUGAACAGUAUUAACGUUCACGUUCUAUUGUCAACUUGCUUGUAUGCUCAAGCAUUGGAGUUUUAAGCUUUUGUCUGCUUGUGGUAGAACGGAUGAACUCGGAUCGCACGCUAGCAGUUAAACAUUGCUUGCUCGCACAUGGAAGCUUAAACGUCAUUCACGGUAGAAUGAAAGUAACACGUCCUUUAUAAAAAGGUUUUAAACUAAAAAUGAAGCCUAAAGACAAAGUUGAGUUUGAUGAGGUGAGUUUUCUUUUAUUCUGAAAAGAAAGUCAUGAUUUGAAUCAUACUAAAGUCUAUGAAUGAAGGUGAAUACAGUGAGCAACUGAAUCAUUCGUCUCAUACCCAAAGAUAUUCAGAAUGAGGAUAGGUAUUCUCCACUCUCAUCCAUUAUCCAUUGCUUAAGGCUCGUAGCAUACAAUCCUAAUCGUAUUGUUAAUUGUUUUUGAGUUUAUUCACAAAAUGGUUUAGUUUUACUGAGAGAGAACAAAAGGGAAAGAAAAAAAACCCUGGAAGGUUGGGGUCUGGUCUUUAGUCUGCAUCCCAUAUUUGUGUAGAAAGCCUUAUCAAUCAUUCAAUUUAAAUUACACUAAAGUCUAUGAAUAGAGGCGAAUACAAUGAGCAACUAGGUCAUUUGUCAUGUACCUAAAGAUAUUCAAAAUAAGGAUAGGGAUUCUCCACUCUCACUCCUUCUCUACUACUUAAGGCUCAUGACGUGCAAUUUACAUCAUAACUAAUUAGUGUUGGAGUUGAAUUUCCUUGCAGCUUUCUGUGAUGAAUGAUUGUAUUUGAAGAAAGAAGACUUGAUAAUCAAGUUGAAUCAAAUAAUGCUAAAGUUUAUAAAUAUAGGUGAAUACAAUGAGCAAUUGGGUCAUUCGUUUCGUACCCAAAGAUAUUCAGAAUGAGGAUAAGUUCUCCACUCUCACUCCUUCUUUACUACUUAAGGCUCAUGGCACACAACUUGGCUCAUGAUUGACAAGUGUUGAAUACACCUUUGUUGUGCUUGAAUAGUAGUCCAAUCUGUCUUGUACUGAUUUGAAUGAAGUCUUGAGAAUCUUGAAUCUUGAUCUUUGAUCUUUCAAUUUUGAAGUCUUGUACAACUCUUGAGAUCCAACAUCCAGUACUGCUUGAACAAUGGACUUACCCUAUCAAGUGAUCAAAAGUCUUUUGAUCACUUGAAUAGGCUUGAUGAAUUGAGCAUAGUCAAAGGAUUUAAUUGGUCAAAGCAAACUUUGAUCAACUGAAUCAAUCGGGAGAAAUUAAUUGAAAAUGAAUUGAAUCAUAUACAAAAUAAUCUAAAGGAUUAAUCAAACAACUAGAAGAUUCCCAUUAGUCAUAAACUAAGGGAGCAUGCAAAUCAAGUUGUUCUAAACCCUAAGGAUAAAUGAUCAUUAUUAACAACUUAUUGAUAUUGAAUUAAUUUUUAACAAUGAAAACUCUUAUUAAGCUCAAAUGAAUAUAAUCUAUUCUAAUUAAUUCUAACUUUCUAAAAAAAUCUAAUUAAACUAAUUAAUUUCUACUAUGUCUAAUUAAACUAAUAUUCUAAAAAAAUUCUAUUAUCCUAAUUAAGUUAAUCAAGAUUUAAAAUCCUAAUUAUACUAAUUAAAUCAUAAUCCUCUAACUAGUAUAAUCUUAAUAUCUAAUUGAACUAAUAUUCCUAAUUGUAAUCUAAUUAAUUCAAACUAAUCAAAUUAAUUCAAAUUAAUCAAACAACAACAAAAAAUAAAAACAAAAAGAACGGGGAUGGGCCUCUAGGGCGCAGGAAGCAGCCAACUGGCGGGGCCUGGAAGUCCCAGCCCCAAUGCCAAUCUGCAUUGAGAGGGAGGUGCAAAAUCUUCACCAUGUACCCGGGUCCAACGCGAGCAAUAGAAUGAGAAGAAGGAAAACACUUCUUUCCAAAAGCGGCAAUGCAUUCUUCAUGGCCGUUCAUGGCUUCAUCUCCUUCGAAUAUGAAUCCCCACGAGCGAAGAAGAAUCGCGACUUCCAAUCAUCCAUUAACGGCUCGAGCUCAACAUCAACCAUCCAAUUCAGUUGGCUCGCGCUCACAUAAACAAUGAAGAACAAAAUCGAAGUUGAGAAAACUCACCAGAUUUGGAGUUCCCAUUGCAACCAGGUUUGAAGCGCUUCUUCUCCCGCUGAUUUCAAUCCCUUCUUCUUCUUGGGUGUUCUGCUAUUGCGGUGGCGUUGUCGUUCAUUGCUGAUAACCAAGUUGUGUGGUUGUUAUGCGAGGAUAGCAGAGCUCGGUUUGGAAGCUCGAAAUGGAGGUGAUGAAUGUCUCAGAAUCCUGUGGAAGAUGAAGAUUGAAGGGGAUGCCGAAGCCUGAAAGAGAGUGAGAGUUCGAGCCUCUUGCGAAAUGUGCGUUGCGUUUCUCUUUUCUAUUCUGAGAUUUUGUGAUACUGGUGGAGAGAGAUGAAUGAAUGAUGAUUGAGGAAUUUAUAGAGCCGAGAAUGGCUAACUGAAUCGGGUAAUUGUGCAGCUAUUAGGGCAAUAUUUAACUCUUUUAAAUUUCAUAAGGUAAGUUUGUUAGUAGUUAAAAUCUGUUAGAAAUCUCAGUUAUGAUUUUGGUUAGUCAACUGAAUGUUAGUUAGUCAUUGGAAAACUUCUAUUAGAUUUGUUAGUUUAUGAACUCUGUUAUGAUUUUUGUGUGAGCUGGAAAUACGUAGUUUGUGAUAUGUAAUUGAAUGGAAUCAUUUGAAUAUUAUUUGAGUUAAUUUCAAUGAAUUGGUGGUUAUUAGAUGCAGGAUAUGAUUGAGCUACUAUGAGCUGAUAGUGCAGGUUAGUUGGAUGAUGUUUGUCAGUGGAUUUUCUGUUAUGAAUGUAUGCUGGUUAGAAUUAUGAUUUUUCCACUUAUAAUUAAGUUGUGAACUAUUUCCGCAUUACUCGGCAGUUUUUUUUUUGUAUUAAGUUCAGUUAGAAAUAUGGAAUUAGCUCACUGCGUAAUUAAUUAAUUAGUGAUGGAGUGCCUUUGGAACUAUUUCGUGUUCUUGGAACUAUUUUGUGUUCUUGGAAUUAUGCAGAUGAAAAUUAAGUCGUGAUUCUACUUCUCCUUAUGCAGGGUUGAACUGAUUUUUUUUCUGUGGAAUUGAUUGUCGAUGUCGUGGCUGCUAGGAACUGAUGUAUGCUUGGAACUAGAUUGUAUUGGCUAGCCUGCAAUCUAUUGUGUUCACUUGUUGCAGUACCAUGGUUAUGAAGGUAUAUUCCGAUUGGUAUUUGUAUGUUUUGAUGUUGCUUUUGCCAUGUGGUUUGUGAGUAGAAUAUAACACUGCCUAUGUAAUGCUAAAUUGCCACUGAAUGCUGUUUGAUAGGAGAAAGAAUGCUAAUAUUUUGUUAGUCAUGUUUAUGAAUAGAUAAAUGUUAAUUGCUUUCAAUGAUGAUUUGCCUUCCUGUUGAAAUGAAAAUGUCACUGCCAGCUGGACUUCCAGAUGCAAUUUGAAGUUAAUUAGGCUAGAUAUGGCAAUGCAUCAAGUGUCAAAUGAUUACUAAAUCGUGGACUAUUUUCUUGCAGGAUGGGUCAUGUGAUUGGAUGACCAAGUGGCGAUGUAUAACACACUGGGAGAUCAAUGACGGGCUUCCCAAAUUCCAAGCUUCUUCCCUCUCGAUUCGAGCUAUCUAAUAGCAUGGGAUGGUGCCAACAUGAUGUAAUAAAAUUAGGACAUGGAUUAGCUUGUUGUUUUAUGUUGUAAUGGGAAAAAAACUCACUUAUAAUAAUUUAUGUCAAACAAUGUUUAUGUAAUGUAACUUAACUUGUGAUUCAAAAUUCAAGCAAAAUUCCACUUCUAAAUUCCACUUCCUGGUAUGAAAUGUUGUAUAACAUGUUAUGGUUUGGAAAUUGUUUUGUUGUAUUUGAA
rnacentral:lncRNA from 1 species